UGAAGGGGUGCUGCGCAGUUCUCCCUCUCUUCGCAGCACCUCUCCUGCGAAGGAGAGGUGCUGCGAAGAGAGGGAGAACUGUGCAGCGCCCCUUCAAGCAAAGCUGGAGAAGGAACAGAAGGAGACCCUUCUUUUCCUCCUCCGGCU